rfam:Strongyloides stercoralis strain PV0001 genome assembly, scaffold: SSTP_scaffold0000009
CCAACGGCCCUCUUUAGGGCCACCCAUUUUAAAUUUAUUUUUUCUU